rnacentral:rRNA from 1 species
GACGAACGCUGGCGGCGUGCCUAAUACAUGCAAGUCGAACGGUUUAGUUCCAAGAGGCUUGCCUUUUGGAACUAGACAGUGGCGGACGGGUGAGUAACACGUAGGCAACCUACCUGUCAAACCGGGAUAACCUCGGGAAACCGAAGCUAAACCCGGAUAAGCUCCUUUUUCGCAUGAAGGGGGAGUGAAAAGGUGCGACCUGAUGACAGAUGGGCCUGCGGCGCAUUAGCUAGUAGGUAGGGUAACGGCCUACCUAGGCGAUGAUGCGUAGCCGACCUGAGAGGGCGUACGGCCACACUGGGACUGAGAUACGGCCCAGACUCCUACGGGAGGCAGCAGUAGGGAAUCUUCGGCAAUGGGCGAAAGCCUGACCGAGCAACGCCGCGUGAGUGAGGAAGGCCUUCGGGUUGUAAAACUCUGUUGUUUGGGAAGAAGGGAAAGGGUAGGACCCUUAGGUGACGGUACCAAACGAGAAAGCCCCGGAUAACUACGUG